GGACAGAUGGCCGAGCGGCUUAAGGCGCCCGCCUGCUAAGCGGGUUGAGGUGAUCACCUCUCCCGGGUUCGAAUCCCGGUCUGUCCGCCA
rnacentral:tRNA from 3 species